CUUGCCGGCAGUUACGACAGGCCAUUGGAUGUACGACAACGAGGUGGUGCCGGGAAGGGCUGACAUCACCGUUCUGCCGUUGCGUGCAUGCGUGUAGCCAAGGGGAGGGUGGAGCGGAGUCGCGUGGUGGAUGGAGGGCGUUAUCCUGCCAAGUGUUCGUGUAAAACCACCUUUUGAAGCAGCAGCUAUCAUGUCUGAAAAGCAAUUGAUGUUUCCAUUAAUCUUUUUCUGGGGGAAACCUUAAUUCUAAGGAUUUAACAUCCUAAAGCAGGCAGAAUCAUCCAACAGAAUCAGCAGCUGUGCUUCUAAAGGUUUCAAGGAUCCGGAGUGAGAGAAGUCCUUUGCAGAGAGGUGGAGAAGCAGGGGCGCAGCGUGAGCAGGACCCCAAAAGGGUUUCGCAGGAAGCGAGCCCAGGAGCUCUGCGACCCGACCCGUAGGAAUUGGAAGCGGGAUUGGAAGUGUGGAGGGAGGGCGAGACGCCCAGUCUAUAGGUGAAAGGAACUCUUCCGGCGCCCCAGGCCCCAGCCCCGCCCCCACACCGCCGCACUCUGUCCCCAGGCAUCCUGUUGUGGGGGCACAAUGUUCUAUUCGUGGGCUACCUGUUCUAGGCUUUUCUCCUGGCCCAGGCGUUCCUUCGUGUGGACUGGGCAGAGGACGAGCACAGGGCCAGGAUAGAGGGCCAGAGGACACCCUGGUGAGGUGAGAGCGUGCCAUGUUCCUCCUCCACUUCCCUGUGCUGGAAUGGGGAAGAGUGCGGCCACACCCAGGGUGGGUUCGCAGGACUCUGCGCGCGCUGCUCCCAGGCUCGCACCCUAUGAGAACCUCGGCUCUUCCUCCCCGGGGUGGGCGUGGACUUGGCGAAAGGGUAGGUUGGCCCGCGGAUGCCCUCUGCAGUUCCCGAGGACCUAGCCCCACUUCAAUGACCUCGGUUACCCGCAGCACCUCUGCCCUUGCCCUUUUCCCGCAGCAACAAAUGUGAACCACGUUUCUGCACCUACAGAGCCACGAGUUUCUCUGAUGACUGAGUACUGGGCUCCCCAGAAGGAUGGGGUGUGAGAAGCUUAGGUUUUGGGAGAGGCUAGAACCGAGCCUGCGGAAACACACACGGAUGUGGGCCUAGGUGGACUAGGCUCCAAAGAUGGCCCCAGUGAACCACAGCUCCUGCUAUUAAUGGUCGUGUGUACUUCCCACCUACAUUUGUAUGAGCUGGUCUGUGACUCGUGUUAACCACUUGAAUGCAGUAGAAAUGGUGCUGUACCAAUUCUAGACCUACUCUUUAAGAGGACUGGCAGCUUCCACUUUCUCCUUCUUGGAACAUUUGCUUUUGGGAGCCCUGAACCACCAUAAAAGAAGGCUGAUUACCUUACUGGAGAGACCCUGUGGAAAGAUUACAUGAAGAGGGGGAGAGACUCUAUUGUCAUAAUGUCCCUGUUAUCUGAAGAGAUGACUCCAGUCCCACCUGCCACCUGACUGCAACCAUAUGAGAGGCCCCAGGGGAGACCAGCAGAAGAACUGCCCACAUGAUUUCAGUCAAUCUACAGAAUCACAAGGGUCAUUCCAGUGCCCUCUAUUGACGAAGCUUAAAAUUCUGCCACCUGGCAAAGGAGAAGCUUUUGCAGGAUCCAAGUCUACUAUCACAAAACGUGGGGCAAAGAAGAGUGAAUUUAGAAUGGAGAACCAAUAAAUUGAUAAUUUGCACACCUUAA